AGCAGCCGCGGUAAUACCAGCUCUCCGAGUGGUAGGGACGAUUAUUGGGCUUAAAGCGUCCGUAGCCGGCUCAGCAAGUCUCCCGUUAAAUCCAGCGACCUAAUCGUUGGGCUGCGGGAGAUACUGUUGGGCUAGGGGGCGGGAGAGGCCGACGGUAUUCCCGGGGUAGGGGUGAAAUCCUAUAAUCCCGGGAGGACCACCAGUGGCGAAGGCUGUCGGCUAGAACGCGCCCGACGGUGAGGGACGAAAGCUGGGGGAGCGAACCGGAUUAGAUACCCGGGUAGUCCCAGCCGUAAACGAUGCGGGCUAGGUGUUGGGGUGGCUACGAGCCACUUCAGUGCCGCAGGGAAGCCAUUAAGCCCGCCGCCUGGGGAGUACGGCCGCAAGGCUGAAACUUAAAGGAAUUGGCGGGGGAGCACCACAAGGCGUGAAGCUUGCGGUUCAAUUGGAGUCAACGCCGGGAACCUUACCGGGGGCGACAGCAGGAUGAAGGCCAGAUUGAAGGUCUUGCUGGACAAGCUGAGAGGAGGUGCAUGGCCGUCGCCAGUUCGUGCCGUGAGGUGUCCUGUUAAGUCAGGCAACGAUCGAGACCCGCGCCCCUAGUUGCCACCGAGGAAGCUUUCCAAGGGGCACUCUAGGGGGACUGCCGCCGAUAAGGCGGAGGAAGGAGCGGGCCACGGCAGGUCAGUAUGCCCCGAAUCCCCCGGGCCACACGCGAGCUGCAAUGGCAGGGACAAUGGGUUCCCACCUCGAAAGAGGGAGGCAAUCCCUAAACCCUGCCUCAGUUGGGAUCGAGGGCUGCAACUCGCCCUCGUGAACAUGGAAUGCCUAGUAACCGCGUGUCAUCAUCGCGCGGUGAAUACGUCCCCGCUCCUUGCACACACCGCCCGU
rnacentral:rRNA from 1 species